GUGAGGACAUAGUGGGAAGAUGGCCAUGUGUGGGUCUGGAAGUGGCCCCCACCAAACACUGAAUCUGCCAGCACCUUGAUCUGAGACUUCCCAGCCUCCAGAACCGGUGAAGUGAGCAUAGGAAAACCAAGCCCAGCUGACUUUUGGGGAACAGAAAAACAUCAUUCUGAAGAGUGGUACCACAUCCAAGUGUUUAUAGAUAUGAGCAUAGACAUGGAUGAGAAAUGGACACGAUAUUAACUUCACUUCAGCGAGGCCUGGCCUGCACCUUGUCAACUGCAGGUUUUUGGACAUCAGUGGCAUAAAAACACGAUGUGACCCAGGGCAGCCUCGGG
rnacentral:lncRNA from 1 species